rnacentral:rRNA from 1 species
CCUACGGGUGGCAGCAGUGGGGAAUAUUGCGCAAUGGGCGAAAGCCUGACGCAGCGACGCCGCGUGAGGGAUGAAGGUCUUCGGAUCGUAAACCUCUGUCAGCAGGGAAGCACGGUCACUGUGCUAAUCAGCAGUGAAUUGACGGUACCUGAAAAGGACGCACCGGCUAACUCCGUGCCAGCCGCCGCGGUAAUACGGAGGGUGCGAGCGUUAAUCGGAAUUACUGGGCGUAAAGCGCUCGUAGGCGGUAUGUCAAGUCAAGGGUGAAAUCCCCGCGCUCAACGUGGGAACUGCCUUUGAAACUGGCAAACUGGAGUGUGUGAGAGGAUAGUGGAAUGCCAGGUGUAGGAGUGAAAUCCAUAGAUAUCUGGAGGAACAUCAGUGGCGAAGGCGACUAUCUGGCACAUAACUGACGCUGAGGAGCGAAAGCGUGGGUAGCGAACAGGAUUAGAUACCCCAGUAGUC